ACGUCAUCUCUGACCCUUUCCUCUGAAGUUCAAACCCAGGUAAGGUUCUGCGCGUUGCUUCGAAUUAAACCACAUGCUCCGCUGCUUGUGCGGGCCCCCGUCAAUUCCUUUGAGUUUUAGCCUUGCGGCCGUACUCCCCAGGCGGGGUGCUUAAUGCGUUAGCUUCGGCACGGAGGGAGUCGACACCCCCCACACCUAGCGCCCAACGUUUACGGCAUGGACUAC
rnacentral:misc_RNA from 1 species